rnacentral:rRNA from 1 species
GCGGAGGAAAAGAAACUAACCAGGAUUCUCUUAGUAACGGCGAGUGAACAGAGAUUAGCCCAACAUCGAAGCCUCUAUGCAUUUGUGUGGAAGGCAAUGUGAUGUAAAGGUGUUCGUUUUCGCAGACUGGCUUACUUGAAGUCCAUAUUUGACUGUGGCUUGUGUAUAAUUAUACUCCCAGAGAUGGUGAAAGGCCAGUUCAAGUUGGUAAUUCAGACCAGACUGUCUGCGUAUAUACGUUCACUGUUGAGUCGGAUUGCUUGAGAUUGCAGUCCAAAUAUGGUGGUAAACUCCAUCAAAGGCUAAAUACCUGUGUGAAUCCGAUAGUCAACAAGUACCGUGAGGGAAAGUUGAAAAGUACUCUGAAGAGAGAGUAAAUAGUGCGUGAAACUACAUGAAGGUUAAACGGAUAGAGUCCAACUGCGUGUUAUUGUUCAUUGCAUUAUUCAUUACUAUGUACUAAUUGUGCAGCGACAGCUUGUCGAUUGGCGUACCCAUUUGUGGGUAUUUGAACAAUUGGCUAUGUUUAAUGGAUGUUGUUGUGCAAGUGUGGGUAAUGUUUAUGACGAUAGCAGAAGCCAUAGUCGGUUAAAUCUAUCAGCACUAAGCUAACAGCGUUUGCAUGAGCGACUUUUUGUCGUUUAUGUGAUCGAUAGACAGUUGUUAUUUACAUAUGCUUGCAUGUGUUUAUGGCAAAAUGGGCUACGGCCUGUUGUGAGCUGAGUGCGCUGUGUGAUUAACCGGUGACAUAUGUUCUAUGUAAUUCAUAAGCUAGCAUAGAUUGCUAUGAGAGCUUGUGAAGUAACGUACGAGCUA